UGCCCUGCACUUCGGGAUAAGCCUGGGAAACUGGGUCUAAUACCGGAUAGGAGCCAUUUUUAGUGUGAUGGUUGGAAAGUUUUUUCGGUGUAGGAUGAGCUCGCGGCCUAUCAGCUUGUUGGUGGGGUAAUGGCCUACCAAGGCGGCGACGGGUAGCCGGCCUGAGAGGGUGGAGGCCACAUUGGGACUGAGAUACGGCCCAG
rnacentral:rRNA from 1 species